CCGCCCUUCAUUCACUUCUGAAUGACAUCUUUACGGUUGAUGAAACAAAUUCGAAUCAAAAUUAUCACGGUGAAACUUUAUCUUUAAAAGCACAUCGGAUGAAAAUCAAACUCUAUCUUGUCAAUAUAGAAUCCAUCUUCCCUCUACCAGUUUUUUUUUUUUUAAUAAAUAUAUAGCCUUCUCUCUCUCAUUCUAAUUUAGCACAUUACGGGAGUAAAAUAAGAAAAGUAAGAAAGUAAUUGAUUUAACCAG
rnacentral:lncRNA from 1 species